rnacentral:rRNA from 1 species
CUCCUACGGGAGGCAGCAGUGGGGAAUAUUGGACAAUGGGCGCAAGCCUGAUCCAGCAAUGCCGCGUGUGUGAAGAAGGCCUUCGGGUUGUAAAGCACUUUUAUCAGGAGCGAAAUACUACCGGUUAAUAACCGGUGGGGCUGACGGUACCUGACGGAAUAAGCACCGGCUAACUUCGUGCCAGCAGCCGCGGUAAUAC